CCUACGGGAGGCUGCAGUGGGGAAUAUUGGACAAUGGGCGAAAGCCUGAUCCAGCCAUGCCGCGUGUGUGAAGAAGGCCUUCGGGUUGUAAAGCACUUUCAGUGGGGAAGAAAGCCUUGGGGCUAAUACCCUCGAGGAAGGACAUCACCCACAGAAGAAGCACCGGCUAACUCCGUGCCAGCAGCCGCGGUAAUACGGAGGGUGCGAGCGUUAAUCGGAAUUACUGGGCGUAAAGCGCGCGUAGGCGGUCUGAUAAGCCGGUUGUGAAAGCCCCGGGCUCAACCUGGGAACGGCAUCCGGAACUGUCAGGCUAGAGUGCAGGAGAGGAAGGUAGAAUUCCCGGUGUAGCGGUGAAAUGCGUAGAGAUCGGGAGGAAUACCAGUGGCGAAGGCGGCCUUCUGGAUUGACACUGACGCUGAGGUGCGAAAGCGUGGGUAGCAAACAGGAUUAGAUACCCCAGUAGUC
rnacentral:rRNA from 1 species